rnacentral:rRNA from 1 species
UUGUUGAUGGCUCCUCAGAAAGACGAUCCAGUGCGAUUUAUAUAACAAUUGAAGAGAAACGUGUCAUUGAAAAACUCUUCACCAGAACAAUGGUAGGGAUUAAUUUGACAUCUUUUAAAGACUGCUCAUUAUUUGCGAUGGCUGAACCCGUGCUACGGUAAUUGCAAUACCCCUUGUUAGGAUCGGGCAGAAAGACUUCAUAAUAUCUCCAUAGGUAGAUCACCCAUGGUGGAUCUGACAUAUAUAUAUUUAUUGAGUAGUGUAACUAAAUGUUAGAAUGAAAUAGUUCACCCCCUUUCAGUCUAUUUAUUGAACAUAUUCCUUAUAGUGUAGUAUAUUUUUUUAGAGCCUACGAAAGUCGAUUAGUCAGCUACUCGUUUCCUUUGUUAGUCGUUUCCUUUAGUACUCGUUUACUUUGUUAGUCGUUUCCUUUAGUAGUCGUUUCCUUUAGUAGUCGUUUCCUUUAGUAGUCGUUUUCAUUGGCACCGAAUGACUGAUUAGUCAUCUCAUCUCAUCGGUCCAUCCCUUUACCCAUUUUGUUACUUAAAUAGCUCAGGUUUCGCAGAAGGAGGAACCAUCGGCGAAUGAACAUAGUAAACAGAGUACCUGGAAUAGUCGGAAUCUAAUAAACUUAAAGGAAUUGACGGAAGGGCACCACCAAGAGUGGAGCCUGCGGCUUAAUUUGACUCAACACGGGAAAUCUCACCAGGUCCAGACACAAUAAGGAUUAACAGAUUGAGAGCUCUUUCUUGAUUUUGUGGGUGGUGGUGCAUGGCCAUUCUUAGUUGGUGGAGUGAUUUGUCUGCUUAAUUGCGAUAACGAACGAGACCUUAACCUUUAAAUAGGUCCAUUAGCUUUUUGCUGAAAGGAACUUCUUAAAGGGACUAUUGAUUAAAAAUCAAUUGAAGUUUGAGGCAAUAACAGGUCUGUGAUGCCCUUAGACGUUCUGGGCCGCACACGCGCUACACUGACGGAGGCAACGAGUUGACCUUAGUCGAAAGGUUUGGGAAAUCUAUAAACUCCGUCGUGAUGGGGAUAAAGCUUUGAAAUUAUUGCUUUUGAAUGAGAAAUUUCUAGUAAGAGUAAGUCAUUAACUUGCGUUGAUUACGUUCCUGCCCUUUGUACACACCGCCCGUCGCUAUUACCGAUGAAUGGCUUAGUGAGAAUUUUGGAGAGAUUUAUUUAGGGGCGACUCUUUUUAAUAGUAUAUAUUUGUAGCAUAGUAUAGUACAGAGUUAUCAUACGAAUAUAUUAUUGAUACGCUGUCGGAAU